GGCUCUCUGGUCUGUAACUGACGCUGAGGCGCGAAAGCAUGGGUAGCGAACAGGAUUAGAUACCCUGGUAGUCCAUGCCGUAAACGUUGAGUGCUAGGUGUUAGGGGGUCCAACCCUUAGUGCUGCAGUUAACGCAAUAAGCACUCCGCCUGGGGAGUACGGCCGCAAGGCUGAAACUCAAAGGAAUUGACGGGGGCCUGCACAAGCGGUGGAGCAUGUGGUUUAAUUCGACGCAACGCGAAGAACCUUACCAGGUCUUGACAUCUUCGGACAGCCCAAGAGAUUGGGUCUUCCCUUCGGGGACCGAAUGACAGGUGGUGCAUGGUUGUCGUCAGCUCGUGUCGUGAGAUGUUGGGUUAAGUCCCGUAACGAGCGCAACCCCUGAUCUUAGUUGCCAGCAUUCAGUUGGGCACUCUAGGAUGACUGCCGGUGACAAACCGGAGGAAGGCGGGGAUGACGUCAAAUCAUCAUGCCCCUUAUGACCUGGGCUACACACGUGCUACAAUGGAUGGUACAAAGGGAAGCCAAACCGCGAGGUCGAGCUAAUCCCAUAAAGCCAUUCUCAGUUCGGAUUGUAGGCUGCAACUCGCCUGCAUGAAGCCGGAAUCGCUAGUAAUCGCGGAUCAGAAUGCCGCGGUGAAUACGUUCCCAGGCCUUGUACACACCGCCCGUCACACCACGAGAGUUGGCAACACCCGAAGUCGGUGGGGUAACCUUCACGGAGCCAGCCGCCGA
rnacentral:rRNA from 1 species